rnacentral:rRNA from 1 species
UACGAAGGGGGCUAGCGUUGCUCGGAAUCACUGGGCGUAAAGCGCACGUAGGCGGCUUUUUAAGUCAGGGGUGAAAUCCUGGAGCUCAACUCCAGAACUGCCUUUGAUACUGGCGAUCUUGAGUCCGGGAGAGGUGAGUGGAACUGCGAGUGUAGAGGUGAAAUUCGUAGAUAUUCGCAAGAACACCGGUGGCGAAGGCGGCUCACUGGCCCGAUACUGACGCUGAGGUGCGAAAGCGUGGGGAGCGAACAGG